rnacentral:rRNA from 1 species
UACGUAGGUGGCGAGCGUUGUCCGGAUUUACUGGGCGUAAAGAGCGCGCAGGCGGUCGUCCAAGUCGCGUGUGAAAGCCCCCGGCUCAACUGGGGAGGGUCACGCGAUACUGAUCGACUCGAAGGCAGGAGAGGGUAGUGGAAUUCCCGGUGUAGUGGUGAAAUGCGUAGAUAUCGAGAGGAACACCAGUGGCGAAGGCGACUACCUGGCCUGUUCUUGACGCUGAGGCGCGAAAGCUAGGGGAGCAAACGGG